rnacentral:misc_RNA from 1 species
GUUCAUGCGUUGCACUGCGAUAUGGUAUCGUUCGAGAUACGGGUGCUUCGUCGAGAACGUUCGCGGAAAGCUCAGAACGAUAUCACGGCGCGUAGAAAAUCCGUGCGUCCCGUGUGUCUGCGGGGAUUGAAAGGAGCCUUUCGAUUUAUCGUCGACUGAAAGUCUCGAAAGUCCACACGAGAACAUGCGAGAAACGUCGAAGUGGAAGAACUCGAUAAAACAGCUAUUCG